rnacentral:lncRNA from 1 species
CAGAACAAAGUAUAUACUAUUUGAAUUCGUUGAUUUGUCAGGUAAUGCCUGCUCAUGCAUGACGUAUCUGCUGUUUCAGCCUGCUGCAUUUCUUAGCGCAACAGGAGCUCAGGAUAUCUCGCAUGAUAAACAUGGAGGCUGAGCUUUUACCAUGAGAUCCCGGGUGAAGCCGACGAGCGGAAAACAUUAUGAUGGCACAAAUGCCCCAUCGACCAUCAUCUUGGCAAAGUAAUGAGGUAAGACAAGAGAACCAGGGCCCUGUCUGGAAUUCGCGCGUGAAUUUCACUGGAAAUUAGCAGGAUUCCCACGGGAACAACCCCAACCUUCGAUUUUUAUUUGACGAGUGGAUUUCAGCUGUAGCAAGUAGGCUGCAUCCGGCAUGUAUCCCGUCCGGCCACUUGGUGAGACGUACAUGUCAUUGACAGAUUACCAGGUCGCUCAGCUGCAACCGAACCAACAACACGCGCACACACACACACUCGCACAGGUGGUGGUGAGGAGGCCCCAGAUGGACCGAUUAGAUUCUCUCGUCAUCCCAGUUACCUGCUCCGAGACCGAGCGACUGGGCAACCAACCAACACACACGCCCUACCGCUCCUACUGUCCAGUCCUACGUACAUGUACUGUACAUGCCAUCGUCGAUCGGAUCACUUCCUUUUGGCAAAGCUAGCUCGAUCACCACCGGCGACCUAAUUCACAAGCUCCCAUCCAGCGCCACGUAGGUGCACGGUGGGAGGUUUCCCUGCAUCCUUUUCCAAUGUUUUCCACGCACUGCCGAUCGAGUUGUCGACGUGCUGGCCGCCGUGGGGCCGCGGCCGGCCGCGAAUCUUUCCUUCCCCAUGCACGCAACGUACGUACGUGAAACCUCCUCCUCGUCGUCGUGUCGUCGGCUACUCGGCUUGGUCGUCGUCACCGGCCCAACCUCCGUCCGCGUGGCUCGUAAAAAAACGCACCAUAUAGCUAGUGCAAGUUGAUCCUCUCGUACGUUGCUUUCAGUUUCAGGCCAUGGCCCCCCGCAAGCGGCAGGCAGGCAGCAGCCUAGCUAGCUCCAUCGAGGCUGGCUGUGCCUGCCAUGCAGCUAGCUAGCACGGCUCCAUUCUUUCUUUUCUUCUUUCUGCCAAAUCAUUAUCAGUUGCUUCGCCGCGAAACUGUCGUUGGUCCCGGAAGGCCCGGCCGUGUGUUUCUCUUUGUUUUUGAUAUGACGAAUUUUGUACUUGUUCCCAUGUUUGUUCUGUCGCUCGAGCGGAGUGGAUUUGGUUUACUACGCGGAUGUGUUUUUUUAUUAUAUAUAGGUUGGAUUUCGUUUUUAGAAACUGUAUGUAGAGACAUAGGGUAGGGAACGCUUGUAGCCGGCGCGUCGAUCGAACCUUUUGUGUGGGCACGCAGCCUAUAGUUGGCCAGGACGGCGUCCAAAUUUGUUACAACCAGUAUUCAAAUUUGCUACAAUUGUUCACUAAAAAAAGCUGCAUUCACAUUUGAUUGCAAUCCGAGUUUGUCAAUUUUUUUUCGCUACAACCGGUUUUUGAUUUUUGCUACAACCGGUGUUGAUUUUACUACAACCGGUACCAAUUUUUCUACAACCGUUCGCAAAAAAAGCUGCAUACACGUUCGUCAGAGUUGCAAUCCGAGUUCACCGGAUUGUUUUGCUACAACUCGUAUUUUAUUUUGCUAUCACGCAUCAUCAGCGUUUUUUUUGGUACGACCACGUUGAUAUUUUUUUGCUAAAACCAUAUUUUUGCUGCAUCCGUGACUGAAAUUUGCUACAUUGUUGCUUGUUUUUUACUACCAUCGAUGAUUUUUGCUGUAUGGACAGAUCUGACGGUCAAACGGUAUUCGAUCUGACGGAUCUGACGGCUCACAUGCGACCGGCAGAAAGUUUCGGUCAACGCGCCGGCGCAGAUCUGUGUCCUGUAGGGUAGGGCUGUUCGUGAUGUAUUUGCUAGGUUCCCUGCCUUGUAAAUUAGUGUGUGCCAAAUCCUAGUGAAGGCUGCUUGGCACAUUUUCUCAAGCCUCCGACGUCAUUCUGCAUUUUCCAUCGUCUCAUGGACAAUAUAUGGGGACAGUGCAGGUUCCUGGGAUGAUCUAGUUAUUUCAUGGACAAUUGAGACCAACGGGACACCAUCGUGAGACGACAUUUCCAGACGCAACUACAAACCUAUUAGUGGAAAAUAAACCAUUGAUAAACUACACAACCUGACUGAGAAUGUGGUACACACAAUGACAACGCCGUAAGGAAACGAUGGUUUGUAUACUAAUGUUAUCAGGUCUAACCAAGAGGUCAAACAUGUUGUUAUUACCCCAAGCAUAACUUUUAGCCAACACCUUCAACAAAGGUUCUCGCAGAAAAAAAACAACUUCAACAAGGGUGUGGAGAUUGC